rnacentral:rRNA from 1 species
CCUACGGGAGGCAGCAGUGAGGAAUAUUGGUCAAUGGACGCAAGUCUGAACCAGCGACGCCGCGUGAGUGAAGAAGUAUUUCGGUACGUAAAGCUCUAUCAGCAGGAAAGAAAAUGACGGUAUCUGACUAAGAAGCCCCGGCUAACUACGUGCCAGCAGCCGCGGUAAUACGUAGGGGGCAAGCGUUAACCGGAUUUACUGGGUGUAAUGGGAGCGUAGACGGCAGCGCAAGUCAGUAGUGAAAUGCCGUGUCGCAACCCCGGAACUGCUCUGGAGACGGUGAAGCUAGAGUGCUGGAGAGGUAAGCGGAAUUCCUGGUGUAGCGGUGAAAUGCGUAGAUAUCAGGAGGAACACCAGCGGCGAAGGCGACUUACUGGAAUGUAACUGACGUUGAGGCUCGAAGGCGUGGGGAGCAAACAGGAUUAGAUACCCCAGUAGUC